CUUGCUGGAUGCUGACGAGCGGCGGACGGGUGAGUAAUGCAUAGGAAUCUGCCCGAUAGUGGGGGAUAACCUGGGGAAACCCAGGCUAAUACCGCAUACGUCCUACGGGAGAAAGGGGGCUCCGGCUCCCGCUAUGGGAUGAGCCUAUGUCGGAUUAGCUAGUUGGUGAGGUAACGGCUCACCAAGGCCACGAUCCGUAGCUGGUCUGAGAGGAUGAUCAGCCACAUCGGGACUGAGACACGGCCCGAACUCCUACGGGAGGCAGCAGUGGGGAAUAUUGGACAAUGGGGGAAACCCUGAUCCAGCCAUGCCGCGUGUGUGAAGAAGGCCCUCGGGUUGUAAAGCACUUUCAGCGAGGAAGAACGCCUAACGGUUAAUACCCGCUAGGAAAGACAUCACUCGCAGAAGAAGCACCGGCUAACUCCGUGCCAGCAGCCGCGGUAAUACGGAGGGUGCAAGCGUUAAUCGGAAUUACUGGGCGUAAAGCGCGCGUAGGUGGCUUGAUAAGCCGGUUGUGAAAGCCCCGGGCUCAACCUGGGAACGGCAUCCGGAACUGUCAAGCUAGAGUGCAGGAGAGGAAGGUAGAAUUCCCGGUGUAGCGGUGAAAUGCGUAGAGAUCGGGAGGAAUACCAGUGGCGAAGGCGGCCUUCUGGACUGACACUGACACUGAGGUGCGAAAGCGUGGGUAGCAAACAGGAUUAGAUACCCUGGUAGUCCACGCCGUAAACGAUGUCGACCAGCCCGUUGGGUGCCUAGCGCACUUUGUGGCGAAGUUAACGCGAUAAGUCGACCGCCUGGGGAGUACGGCCGCAAGGUUAAAACUCAAAUGAAUUUGACGGGGGCCCGCACAAGCGGUGGGAGCAUGUGGUUUAAUUCGAUGCAACGCGAAGAACCUUACCUACUCUUGACAUCCUGCGAAUUUGGUAGAGAUACC
rnacentral:rRNA from 1 species